CAUCUGAUCAAAGUCAGCAAGCAAGGCAACAGCCACCCAAGGAACAGGUUCAGGACCCAACAAGGAGGCUUCCAGGUGGACUUGCUAUCCCAUCCCCCACUGGCCCAGCAUGAGGAGUAGGCGAAUGGACCAGGUGCAGACCCUUGGCUGGUGGCAGGAGGCUCAGUGUUCACCUUGCCUUCAGGUGUUCUCAUUCUAGUGGAGGAGAGAUAAGCAGACAGGAAAUGAGCCCUUUGGGUUACAGGGCUAGGUGUCUGAGGAAACGCAGACCAGGAGACACCCUUCCCCCAGGCAGGAGUCCUCACUGCUCACCAAACAGCUUCUCACCUGCUCUUCCCAGGAGGCCUGUGAUGAUGGUCCUUACACUAAUCAUUUGGAGGACACACGUGCAGAGGAGGUUUACUCCUCUGGCCAGAUGUGUGCCAAGGCCAACCUGCAGGGGGCCCUCCAGAUACAUCAGCCUCUGCACCAGCUUUGAGGACACCAACCAGAAUUCCCAAUUGUGUCGCCAAGUCGGCUGCUGCUGAUGGUGAAGUGUGAGGCUGGCUGCUGUCGUGUAGCAUGUCUGAGCAGAGAACACAUGCGGUGUACCGCCUGGCUGAGGAUAGCCGCUGCUGAUCAUGUCAACAGCCUGAGGAGCAGUCCAUGAAAAUCCCACAACCCACUGGGAAAAGGAGAUGAAGAGCCAGCUGUUUGGAAGGCAGACAACGGGAACCUGUGAGAGCAGCACUUGUGACCAGUAGGAAGUGAGCACAGAGCUGCCUGAAGACGGAACUGGCAAGUGGUGAGGGGCUAAUACCUGUGGCAUUUGGACCCAGGCAACUGUAGUUUGGGACUAGCGGUGAUUGCUGUCAAAAGGAAGAGCCCAGACUUGCUUAGAGGGCUUGGGGAAGAAAGGAAAGCCUGCUGAUGGUGCAGUGACGCCAAUGGAUGCAGUUCCUGAGUGCAGCUCUGGUGGGUGCUGCUGGCGGCAAAGCCACAGACAAGCAGCUAUUUCAUGAAUUUGCCCCCAAAAUUGGGUGCCAGGUGAAGUGUAAAUCUAAUUAAUCUUAUUAAUAAAGUCAAGGAGACAGA